rnacentral:rRNA from 1 species
ACGAACGCUGGCGGCGUGCUUAACACAUGCAAGUCGAGCGAUGAAGCUCCUUCGGGAGUGGAUUAGCGGCGGACGGGUGAGUAACACGUGGGUAACCUGCCUCAUAGAGGGGAAUAGCCUUUCGAAAGGAAGAUUAAUACCGCAUAAGAUUGUAGUACCGCAUGGUACAGCAAUUAAAGGAGUAAUCCGCUAUGAGAUGGACCCGCGUCGCAUUAGCUAGUUGGUGAGGUAAAGGCUCACCAAGGCGACGAUGCGUAGCCGACCUGAGAGGGUGAUCGGCCACAUUGGGACUGAGACACGGCCCAGACUCCUACGGGAGGCAGCAGUGGGGAAUAUUGCACAAUGGGGGAAACCCUGAAUGCAGCAACGCCGCGUGAGUGAUGACGGCCUUCGGGUUGUAAAACUCUGUCUUUGGGGACGAUAAUGACGGUACCCAAGGAGGAAGCCACGGCUAACUACGUGCCAGCCGCCGC